AUUGAACGCUGGCGGCAGGCCUAACACAUGCAAGUCGAGCGGGGUUUUCGGACCUAGCGGCGGACGGGUGAGUCAUGCGUAGGAAGCUACCCGAUAGAGGGGGAUACCAGUUGGAAACGACUGUUAAUACCGCAUAAUGUCUACGGACCAAAGUGUGGUACCCUCGGGCCACAUGCUAGCGGUUGCGCCUACGUGGGAUUAGCUAGUUGGGGGGGUAAGGGCUCACCAAGGCUACGAUCCCGAGCUGGUUUGAGAGGAUGGUCAGCCACACUGGAACUGGGACACGGUCCAGACUCCUACGGGGGGCAGCAGUGGGGAAUAUUGGACAAUGGGCGCAAGCCUGAUCCAGCCAUGCCGCGUGUGUGAAGAAGGCCUUCGGGUUGUAAAGCACUUUCAGUAGGGAGGAAGGGUGUUGUGUUAAUAGCACAGCAUUUUGACGUUACCUACAGAAGAAGCACCGGCUAACUCUGUGCCAGCAGCCGCCGUAAAAC
rnacentral:rRNA from 1 species